rnacentral:misc_RNA from 1 species
GAUUAAAUCGAGAGCGUCUUCAUUAACCUCUCACCUUUCACAUCCACAUACACCUGUGCACCGUUUGGCUCUUAUAAAAGACGAAAGUCUGCAAUGAGAGUCAUCAAUUUUAUACAUACCCCAGUCUUAUGAAUGUAACAGUUUUAAUAAACAUAAUAAAACUUUUAACAACGGAUCUCUUGGUUCU